UACGAAGGGGGCUAGCGUUGCUCGGAAUCACUGGGCGUAAAGCGCACGUAGGCGGCUUUCUAAGUCAGGGGUGAAAUCCUGGAGCUCAACUCCAGAACUGCCUUUGAUACUGGAGAGCUAGAGUCCGGGAGAGGUGAGUGGAACUCCGAGUGUAGAGGUGAAAUUCGUAGAUAUUCGGAAGAACACCAGUGGCGAAGGCGGCUCACUGGCCCGGUACUGACGCUGAGGUGCGAAAGCGUGGGGAGCAAACAGG
rnacentral:rRNA from 1 species